UUCGCGUACGGGGCCGAGUCAGUGAAGGGCUGGAAGGGGCAGAGCCGGCGGGCACAACACCGGCCCGCAGCGCCCGCUCCCCGCGGGGCAGGGCUCGGGCCCGGGAAGGGCGCUGCGCGGGGCCACGGAGGAGCACGGAGGGGGCACGGCGGGGCAGGAUCUCGGAAGGCCCGGAAAGGCGCGGCCCGGCCCGGCGGUCCAAGAGCGCCGAGCGGGGCCGCCCCGGGGGUCUCUCACCGCCUCGCAGCGCGCGCUCCGGGCGCUCCUCCACAGCGACUGCACAUCGGCUCCGGGCGCCGCCAGCCAGUAAUAUGCAAAGUUACUGCACAUGUAGAACGUGUUCCCUGGAAGGUGGUGCAUGUCUGGGCUUUCUUCUUCCCUGAGGAUGAGAAAGGAGCAAACAGCUGCAGACAAUGCCUGUUCUAAGGAACCCCUUUGAUCCUUCUUUAUUCCACUUUCUCUGGAGUUUCAAUAUAUCAAAGGAGACAAAGUGUAGGAAGUUUUUCACUUCCACAUAAUGGAGCAAAUCAUCAGAAAGCAACAAGAGAAGGUUGAGGUAAAGGGAGAACAGGGAGGGAAGAAGCACUGGGGGGAACAGCAUCAAAAAAGGACUGAGCUGUAAGAACAAGCUGCACUCUGGGGUCUGAUCACUGUGACCUGAGCAAUACAGACACUCUGAGCUGCAUCUCAGUAGAAAUUCCCCCACUAGUGGGUGCAGUGGCUGCCCUGGAUUUGUGAUAAAUGAAACUAUGUGAUGGUUCUGUUCAGAGGAACAGAACUUUGACAUAUUCUCCUUUAUUCAGAACAAACCACAGCCAAACAAUAAAACUCUCCAAGCAACAGCAAGGCUUUUUGUUCCAUAGAAUUGUCACCCCAGGCCCUGCUUGUCUCCCCAGCUUGUGUAACCAGCAAGGCCUAACUCUGUUCCCUGGUUGUUCCUUUCCCACCCGUGACAGGGUGACAGAUUUGGUCUGGCUGAGGUCUGGGUACUGAACUAUUGCAAAGGAUGGAAUGUGGAGUUUGAACUGGCUUUGUGCUGAUACUUUGUGCUUGUUAUUUGGAUAUGGACAAUAUCUGAUCAGUAACUGCCAUAUUUGGCUUUUGUUGGAGUUGUGAUGUUAAAAUCCACCACACCUGAAGGCAGGAAAGGUCCCCCCAGCUGUCAGUGUUGAGCACAAUGUCUGUGCAGCCCAGCAGGUGCUCAGUACCUUGCUGAGGGUUCAGGCCCUCAUGUGGACUUGAGGUGUUCCCUCCAGCUCUGUGACUCCCCCAGCUAUUUAUUCCUGGUCCAUCCUAACGGGCUCGUGCAUUUUCUCUAAUUCCAGACCUCCUUUUUCCUGUUUCCACCCCAAAAAUGUCCCUGAAAAUGCUGUGCCCUUUUUACUUUGAAAACCUGUUUCUCCCUCUCAUCAGAAAACAUGUUGCCUCAUUUCUGAAGUCCUGUUACACAGGGACAUGAGGCAUUAUCCAAAGAAUCCAUCUCCGUUAAAAUCAUGGAUCUGCUGUGCUCUGCAGAAUUACACUCAGGGACUCCCUGGAAAACACGGGGGCAGUUCCUUGCCCUGUGCCGGGAUUGUUUAUCCCACGUUCCUUCCUCCAUGAUUAGCAAUCAGACAAAGGUUUCGGUGGAGGGUAAGCAGAACAGGAAGAAGCUGGGAGAAGGUUUUGUGGCAGGUGGCAGCAAUCACCCCCACAGGGGCACAGAGGCACUGCCAGCGGGGUUGGAAGCGCAGCGGGGCUGGCACGGGGCCGAGUGCGGGAUUGUCCAAGGAGGCAUCUGUGAAAGGCUCAGGAUCCCCAGUCCUGGCUGGCAUGGGGCUCUGAACUGGGGGCAGGGGGAGCCUCUGCCUUAGGGCUGGCACUGGGGGAUUGGCAGCCUCUCUCCUGUCUGGGCUCAGCAGCCUCCAGUCCCUGCUGGGCUCGGAGCAGCACGUCCAGCAUCUCAUCCCAGACAGAAAGGUACAAUCUGCUGUGCCACUCCUAAAAGGGACCUGACCCUUUGCAGUGCUGAAAACACCCAGAUCCCUUAAAUUAAUCCCAUUUUCAGUAACCAUGCAGGACUAAAAAUCAGUUCUCUCUUCUGUACAUCGUUCAUCAGCUCGUACUGUCUCCACUAUCUCAAACAGCUACUGGAACUUUUAAUUGCUCUGUCUGAAGCAGCUGGUUCUCUCAGGAGGCACUGUGGACAGGUAUUGCUCAUCUGAAUAGAACUGCUCUCCUUUGCAGAAGUGUUGGCUCAAAAAAGGACAUUCAGAAAUGAGUAGUUACACCCCACUUGGGACCAUCAGAUCUGUGCUUAUGUAAAGCAAGCAAGCAGAAUUUGCAUGAUAGCUCUUGAUUGCUCUUCAGAAAUCUGUAUGUUUGUUUGAUUUCAAGCAUGCUACUCUCAUUUCUUAAACAUUAUUUCUGUGAACGCUGAGUGAUUAGUAAAUACAUCAGAGCUUUGCUGGGGUACAGGGAUGUAAUGGAAGAGUGGAGAAUAAAAUAAUGCUCCUACCAUGAUGUCAGCUAAUACAGCGAGAAAGAGAUUUGCGAGGACUCCUUUUCCUGGUCUAAAUUUCACCUCCAUUUAGAGAAUUUGCAUAUUGCCACAUUAGCUAGACCAGCAAAAUCACUUAGUGUGAAAGCCACUUUCUGAAAUGGCAAAUAAAAAUAGCUCCUUUUGAUUGGUUUGUUAUCCCAAGUACAAGGGAGAUCCCAGAGGGUCCUGGAGCAUAUUAUACAAACACAGAGCUAACUUCCCAACAUCAUGCACUGCAGGGAGAUCAUCACCUUCUCCAAAGCACGUGGCAGAUGAAGAGGAGCAGAAAUACCUUGUACAGACAAAUUGGAUGUGUCAGUGUGAGUGUUUCAACUGCUGCCGAAAAUGCCGAGUGAUUUGUAAGGAUCACUUGCCUUUUAUCUUGUGGCAGUGACAGGCUGGGACUCACAAAUCACGGAAGGAACCACCAAUGCAGCCCAUUUCGGUGACUUUUUUCUUCACUAGAUAUGUGUUCCUAACACAAGAACUCCUCUCAGUCCCACUUUUUUUUUAAAAAAAAAAGAGUGAAAACAUGACAAAACAGGGCUUGAGCUGCAUGACUGUGGCUCUCUGUGGAGGAGUGGAAAAGACAAUUGCCCCAGUUACAUGCUGGGUUUGGAACUCCGUGCAGCCUAAGCCUAUUGAAAUAUAUAUUUGGGAGCGGGAGUGGAGGGGAGGGAGGAUGCUCUGGAAUGAGGCCUGGAGCUGGAAUGCUGUCCCAGGAGGAGGAGGGAGAGCCAUUAACUGCCUGCAAUCCCCCAAUUUAAAAAAAGGCCCGGAAACAUUUUAAUGCCAGAUUAUGGGACACCUUUCAGUCCUGGGUUUUAUUUUUUUUUUUUUCUUUUGUCUUUAGUUUUCCAUCUAGAUGACUGAAACUUUUCCUAUUUGUGCCCCCAGCUGUGCAAGCUGGGCUGGCUAAAGGCAUUUUUAUUUUUCUCUACUCCAGCCUGACAAAGUCCUACUUAUGCAACAGCUUCUACCUUUAAUAACAGUAAUAUAACUGCAUCAGAACUAAAAAAAAAACACCCAGAUUUCUUAGCACCGAGGCCUGAGAGAACUUGCUGCUGUGCUGCGAUCUGACAGGAGGCAAUUUAUAAGGAAUUAACUCUGACAGUCACUUCACACAGCUGAUUUUCAAAGAUCUAGGCACUAAAGAUGUGUUAAUGAGGGUACUGAGGCUUCAUAAUUAAUUAUAUUAGCAUGUCUUUGUUACUCCCUACAACAGGAGUGCCUGGUUGACAUUUCAAUGGGAGGCUGGUGGUGUUCUUUGGGAUUAUUAUCCAGGAGUGCAGUUCCACCUUAGCUCCCAGAGGGGAACCCGCAUGGAAAUGCCGCUGUGAAUUGCAAGGGCCUUUGGAUCUCAGGAAAAGCCCCUGAAGGAGACUCUGCUGGAAGCUGAAUGGAUGUCAGGAAGAUUUCUCUAGGCUGGAAUCUCUCUUCAGAUAUGGACUCUCCUCCCCCUUCAUUUCUGCCUUCCCUUCCUUCCCUCCCCCCUUCCUUCCCAACCCACGAGGCUCAAGAGCAGCAACAUCCAGCUCUUGGUGAAUGUUUAGUUGCAAUCCCUUAAAGGAGGGAACGCUGACCUGAACGAAACAGAGAACAAAGUAACCUGAAAACAGGGAAUAUUUUCACAGGCUUGAGUUUUCAGUGCAAUAAAGCCAGAGCUGCCAGAAGGAGUCCCAGAAGUGGUUUUUCGGGAUAUUUUGCCUGCCUCUUUGCCUCUGGUACCUGGGAAUGAGCACAUGACCAUCCAUCUCUUCAGGGAUUCCAAGCAGGUGCUCUGUAACACCUAACCGAGGAAAGAAACAGUGGGAGAUCUGAACUUUCACCUCCAGGAGCAAAUAUAAGAUUUCCUUUACAAAGAAGUUUUGUUAUCAGGUGCUGCCAAAACCCUCCCAGUUUUAUUCAUUAGCCUGACAAAGUCAGGGCAGGCUGUGAAGAUGUAAUUUUUGUGUUGUGAUUUGUGAGCGCUCGGUGCUCAGGCACUGCACGGGGAAGAUGCCACAGUUCUGCAGCUUGAACUGUGCAACCUGAAGGUCAAACACAAGCCAGAAUCCUGACUCUGGAAUAUGGAAUAUGAGGAAUGAGCUGUUUAUAGGCAGCACAGCUCCUUGGACAGGGCAGUUCAGGGGAAAAUGUUACUGCUCUCUUAUGUUUGAUGUAAUCAGAGUAGUUGAUAAAGGUCCUACAAGAAGAUGAGAAAAGAAGGGAGAAAAUCCAGGCUGUUAAAGCAACAGUGGCUGGACAGGGGGAGGGCAGGGAUGCAGAACUGGAGGAGAUGUAGUGAUGUUCACAUAACUCUUCUAACAGGAAGAGAACUGAGGAAGAGUUAGGACAAAAGGUGUUUUAGGAAGCUGGGAACAGCACAUCACAAAAAAAUCAGAAACUAUGUGAAAGGACACCUCUCCCUUUCCCCAAAACUGAACCCUCUGCUUUGUCUUUUCACAUGAAAACACAGGUUUGUAUUUUGUGUCUAAAAUAAAAAAAAGUGUUUAUUUUAAUGUUUU